CCUACGGGAGGCUGCAGUGGGGGAUAUUGCACAAUGGGGGGAACCCUGAUGCAGCGACGCCGCGUGGGUGAAGGAGCGUUUCGGCGCGUAAAGCUCUAUCGGCAGGGACGAAGAUGAUGGUAACUGACCAAGAAGCCCCGGCUAACUACGUGCCAGCAGCCGCGGUAAUACGGAGGGGGCAAGCGUUUUCCGGGUGUACUGGGUGUAAAGGGGGCGCAGACGGCAAUGCAAGCCAGGAGUGAAAGCCCGGGGCUCAACCCCGGGACUGCCCUGGGAACUGGAUGGCUGGAGUACAGGAGGGGCAGGGGGAAUUCCUGGUGUAGCGGUGAAAUGCGUAGAUAUUAGGAGGAACACCGGUGGCGAAGGCGGCCUGCUGGACUGUGACUGACGUUGAGGCCCGAAGGCGUGGGGAGCAAACAGGAUUAGAUACCCGUGUAGUC
rnacentral:rRNA from 1 species